AACGAACGCUGGCGGCAUGCCUAACACAUGCAAGUCGAACGAGACCUUCGGGUCUAGUGGCGCACGGGUGCGUAACGCGUGGGAACCUGCCCUUAGGUUCGGAAUAACUCCCCGAAAGGGGUGCUAAUACCGGAUAAUGUCUUCGGACCAAAGAUUUAUCGCCUUUGGAUGGGCCCGCGUUGGAUUAGCUAGUUGGUAGGGUAAAAGCCUACCAAGGCGACGAUCCAUAGCUGGUCUGAGAGGAUGAUCAGCCACACUGGGACUGAGACACGGCCCAGACUCCUACGGGAAGCAGCAGUGGGGAAUAUUGGACAAUGGGCGAAAGCCUGAUCCAGCAAUGCCGCGUGAGUGAUGAAGGCCUUAGGGUUGUAAAGCUCUUUUACCCGGGAUGAUAAUGACAGUACGGGGAGAAUAAGCUCCGGCUAACUCCGUG
rnacentral:rRNA from 1 species